UCCCUGGUGGCUCAGUUGGUAAAGAAUCUGCCUGCAAUGUGGGAGACCUGGGUUCGAUCCCUGGGCCAGGGAA
rfam:Ovis aries breed Texel chromosome 1, whole genome shotgun sequence.